GUUCAUGUCCACUGCAUUCUGCAGCAAACCGAGUAAUUCUCUGGUAGGAGUAAAGGUGUGUUCGCACAUACAGCGACUCGCAGCGACUGGAGACCGUUCAUUUUCAAUAACUUCCGGCGACAUGAGCGAUAGCGACCGUUGACUACUAGAUGUGGGCAUGUCCAAAGACGCGACAAAGUUGAGAAAAGUUUAAACUGUAUGCAAAUUUGGAGCGACUUGGUACAGCAACUACCAAUGAGUGUGAAGCCAGUCGAGCGCACGUGAUCCGUGGCUUUAAACGCGAUGAGGCCAUAAUUGAAGCUAAUUGGCGCUUGCGCUUUCGCCGCAGAUGGAUGGUCACAAUGGCAAAGAGCACACACUGCUUCUCCUUCAUCUCAUAUGAUAUGAUGCAUAAAUACGCUGAUGAAUUUUAUAUAAAAACGCUGUCCCUCCAGAAUGUUUAAUUUUAGCGGCAAGAAAACUAGUUUGUUGUCAAAAGUGGAAUGCUAGUUGCACCACCCACUGAUUAAUGUUACUAUGGCAACCAGUAGUAGGAACGCCUGUUGUAAUCAGAGAAUGUGAAGUGACGCGUGUCGUGGCUCAACCGAUAGUUCCAAACACUGAAUAGUUUCCCAAACACACUCGCUGAUUCAAUGUACUGGACAGAAAUCAUGCCAAUAUCUACAUACAUAUGGACCUAACUGUAGUUCUCUCCACAGCAUCAGGCCCAACUCGACUCAAGACCCGGUCUCCUCUGGGGCCUAUGACAUGGUCUCCUUCCAGUGGUGGAAUGUAACUAAGUACAUUUACUCAAAUACUGUACUUAAGUACAGAUUUGAGGGACUUGUACUUUACUUGAGUAUUUCUAUUUAAUGCAACUUUAUACUUUUACUCCACUACAUCUCAGAGGCAAAUAUUGUACUUUUUACUGCACUACAUUUGUCUGACAGCUUUAGUUACUACAGUAGUUACUACAGUUCAUGUACCUGUAGCAUUACCUGUGGCAUGGAGUUUGAAUGUUUUUGCUAUCAUUGUAUGUAUAAGAAUUUGACUCUGGUUCUUGCAUGUGUGUCUGGAGAUGUUUGGAACAGUCAUCAUCCAGUUACAUUUAUUGAGUGCUCAUGUCCAGGUGUCCAGAUCUCCUUUUCUUUCUACUGUUGCAGUGAAAGAAAGAAUGCAAUGGCUAUUUUGAACACUUUUAUACCUUUCCUGGCCUGCUUUCUGCCAUCUUUCUGUUCCUGUAGGAGGUUGAAUGAAUUGUCGAUUCCAGGAAAAACUUAUCUACCCUUUCCCUGGAUACAUUAUAUAAUCAAAUGUAUUGUUGAAUGUAAUUGGUUGCCUUGUUCAUUUUGCACUAUUGACCAAACUUCUUUCUUGGGUUAAACUGAGCAGUUGCUUGCAUUAAUUGAUACUGACUUGUUGUGCAUGCUUAUGUGAAUGUCUUAACAUAAGAUAACAUUAGGAUGUGAGUAAUUAUGACCAUAGAAGCAUGAGAGAAAUAUGAAUGCAUACAUACUGUAAAUGUAUUCUAUGUUAAGGGAGCAAUCCCCCUACCCUCCAAAAUUAAACACAGA